CCAGACUCCUACGGGAGGCAGCAGUGGGGGAUAUUGCACAAUGGGGGAAACCCUGAUGCAGCGACGCCGCGUGAGUGAAGACGGCCUUCGGGUUGUAAAGCUCUGUCAAUCGGGACGAAGAAGAUGACGGUACCGAUGAAGGAAGCUCCGGCUAACUACGUGCCAGCAGCCGCGGUAAUACGUAGGGAGCAAGCGUUGUCCGGAAUUACUGGGUGUAAAGGGAGCGUAGGCGGGAAUGCAAGUUGGAAGUGAAAGGUAUGGGCUCAACCCAUGAACUGCUUUCAAAACUGUAUUUCUUGAGUGAAGUAGAGGCAGGCGGAAUUCCUAGUGUAGCGGUGAAAUGCGUAGAUAUUAGGAGGAACACCAGUGGCGAAGGCGGCCUGCUGGGCUUUAACUGACGCUGAGGCUCGAAAGCGUGGGUAGCAAACAGGAUUAGAUACCCCAGUA
rnacentral:rRNA from 1 species